UCAUUAUUAUUGGGCAUUGCUCAUUAAUUGUUAUUGGGCAUUGCUCAUUAAUUAUUAUUGCACGUUAACUUCCAAGGUCGGGUCUCCAAGCACAGAGUUUGCAGUCCCCGAACACGCCCUAGGCUCAGGGAUCUCCUUGCAGCCCUGCUCACGAAUUAAAAGACCUCUCGGCUCUUUGGCAACGCGAGGCGUUAUAGGGCAGCCUGUGGAAGUUACGUAUUUUUAAAAGCCAGCCCUGGCUGAGCGUGUGUCGCUGCAGCGAGCACCUGCUGUGUGCCAGCGAGCAUCCGCAGCCAGGAGAGGCACAGCAAUUCGGGUUAUGAGGCCAACUCCCGAGGUUUGCAGCUACUUUUGCAUCUUCCCCAGUUUCGUAAGGCUGUGUUUGCGUGUCCUGUCCUCCACCGAUGACCUAAGUGCUAUCGCAAGAACGUGGGGGAAGACAGUGAUACGUUUUACGUAACAGCCUCAUGGCAGAUAAGCAAACCUCAAGGAAUUAGAUAACCCCCCCCCCUCUGUUUUUAUCCCUUAAAUAUAAUUUACCUUCCCAGUCAGUUUGGGUUAUCAGGCCAACCCUAUUUUCACACGCUUACUUUCAUCUUGCUUACUUUCUUCUCCUCUUUUGCAGAGCGAAAUGGGAAAAGACCUGCACAGAUCUCCUUCAAAGAUCCUUGUGGCCUCCCAGGGAAGGACAGGGCAAUGCAACAGUGCUUUGGUUUUAGCAUCUGUGUUGGCUAAAUUCUUCUGUUGUGAAAACAAAUGACAUCCUUGGUAGCACGGGCGCAUGCCAAUGGUGGUUUUCUUAUCACUGAGAUUUGAUACGGCGCGCCGAGUGCCAUCUUUUUGGGGGGAGACGAGUCAGAGAAGCACUUUCCGCGAGUGACGGGCUGUGGUCACCCCGGUCUGCAGGCAGGGAGUGGCGGCGAUGGUCCCCCCGGGGCGUCUCAGCCGUAUUUCCUGCGAUUCUGCGAUGUCUGUGUUUGUGCAACCGCAGCGGGGCUGGGCCAGGAAGCUGAAGCUUCAGUCUGC
rnacentral:lncRNA from 1 species